AUGGUAAUUAGGUGCAGCAAUAGCCAGAAGGGAGUACAGGCCUUGUAUCCAGUUGGAAGCUUGGGGAAACUUUCCAGGAAAUCCCUGGAGGUCCCCAAGUUUGGGCUGGGGGUCAGGAGAGAGGAGGCAGGCUCUGCAGAGGGAGUCUUGUCUAUCUUGGAUUUUGACCUUGAGAUUCCACGUUACAUUUAGCUGCACGUCUGCGUAGACUCCUCUUGGCUGUGACAGCUUCUUAGUCUUUCCUUGUUGAUGAUCUUGGCAGUUUUGAGGAGACCUGAUCAGCAUAUUCCUUGACUGGGGAUCCAACUCAUGACCUCUGAAUUAGGAACAUGAAGUCUUAACCAUUGAACCUCCAGGGAAGUCCCAAGAUGAGAGGUUUUAAGCAGAAAAUUCACUAUCAGAUUUUCUUCUUAAAACCCAGUUCUGACAAAGAUGUGAGGGAGAAGACACCCUACUGGUGGACAUGGAGAUCGGAACAGUGUUGUGGAGGGAUGGUGUGACACAUCUACUUGUUCGAUGCACUCGCCCUUUGAUCUAGCAAGUCAGCCCUGCGGAGUGCCCCUCCACAGGUGCAGAGAUGCCUGGCACUAUUGGUAGCCACCAGACAUGAAACAACUGAGCGCCCGUUGACUGGGCAAUGGAAGAGAGAAUGAGAUUCAUCUCACAAAACAGCAGUCAUCAAAAAUAAACAGGUGGGGACUUCCCUGGGGGUCCAGUGGCUAAGACUCCACGCUCCCAAUGCAAGGGGCCUGGGUUCCAUCCCUGGUCAGGGAACUAGAUCGCACAUGCUGUAACUAUGAGAUUCUGCUGCAUGUUGCAACUAAAAACAAAAACAAAAAACAGAUGCCACAAUGAAGACAACAAAGACUGAAGAUCCUGGGUGCUGCAACUAAGACCUGGUGCAGCCAAACAAACGAGUUAGAUCUGCAUGUGUGGAUGUGUGAACUUUUCCAAGAUGAAUUAUAAGUGAAAAAAGGUACUCGCAGGCUCAUAUGCAUGAUAGGAUGCCAUUUGCAUGAGUACAAAGGAUGUACAUUUAUAUAUGCACAUAGAAAUGGAA
ensembl:lncRNA